rnacentral:rRNA from 1 species
UGGGGAAUAUUGGACAAUGGGCGAAAGCCUGAUCCAGCCAUGCCGCCUGUGUGAAGAAGGUCUUCGGAUUGUAAAGCACUUUAAGUUGGGCGGAAGGGCAGUAAGCUAAUACCUUGCUGUUUUGACGUUACCGACAGAAUAAGCACCGGCUAACUCUGUGCCAGAAGCCGCGGUAAUACAGAGGGUGCAAGCGUUAAUCGGAAUUACUGGGCGUAAAGCGCGCGUAGGUGGUUUGUUAAGUUGGAUGUGAAAGCCCCGGGCUCAACCUGGGAACUGCAUCCAAAACUGGCAAGCUAGAGUACGGAAGAGGGUGGUGGAGUUUCCUGUGUAGCGGUGAAAUGCGUAGAUAUAGGAAGGAACACCAGUGGCGAAGGCGACCACCUGGACUGAUACUGACACUGAGGUGCGAAAGCGUGGGGAGCAAACA